AGGGCAACAUUUUAUUCGAAUACUCGAUAACGAAUAAAAUCAACGAAUAGCGGUUUGUUCGAUUGGAAAGUUAAAUUUUGUUAACCUUCGAUACAACUUUUGAUUUUCGUUUAUCUAGAUAACAAUUAUGCCCAUCUCUGCCCAAGGGACACGAUUCGAGAACACUCUACUUUGUUACGUUGCGAACAUGACCUAAUCCCACGUACGAUAGGUUACUCAGAUUCGUUCCACUGGAUCAGACAGAUGGCUUUGUUCCUGCUAAUCCUUUCCGGUCGACUUUUUCGCCCAAUCUGCCAGUCGAACAUAACAUCGACGAUAUUCUUCUCUCUCGAUCUUCAAUUUCAUUUAUUUCUAUCCUUGAAAAUAUCUAACUAAUUGUGUUAACGUUAAUUGUGCGCGCGCGCGCAGUUCUUCGCACCCACGGUUCGCGAAUGGGCGAUACCUCUCGGGUUUGCCAACACAAUCGCUAAAUCCUCGUUAUCAGUCCACCACGGAACCGACCAGAUAUCACUUCGAAUCGAGAACAAAAAGUGUAAAUCGAGCCAUUUGCCUCUCCAGUGAAAGCGAUCGGCGCAAUCCAUUCGCGUUUGCACCUACUAGGAAUCGUCGAGCGAUUCUUCCGUUUGUUUCUCGUAUUUUCGGCGAGGUCGUUAAAAGAGAACAGAGGGAAAGAAUUCGAUAAAGACGCCUGAAAGACGGAAUAUUUGAUUUAGGAUUAGCGAGGCUAAAUAACGAGUCCGUUUAGUUGUGUUGCCGCCGCCUCGAGAAAGAAGCCAUUGAAACAAUUCUGAAGGACAAUCAAAGAUGGAAAGUACUGAUCUCACACGUAGUAGGAUGAAGCAAUUAAUCGACUAAGGCUAGAUAUAUUUCGUUAGCUUAAGCUUAAGACCUAGGCGACCGCGGCGAUCAGCGAACAUACCGGCAGCUUCGGGAAUUUCAUUUUCAACAGCGUGGACAAGACUUUUGAAAAUAACAAAUCGAUCUAGGAGUCUCGAUGAUUCCACCGCGAACAGAACUGGAAGCUCGUCUCGAAACCUCGAUAAAUGCAUACGGACGUUCCGUUCGUUGCAUUCGGAGUCUGGUCUCCUUACUUACGGAAAGAAUUAGGUGACGAAUACGGAAAUAUUUGGUGUAUUUUUCGAGUACGUACAGGAAACAACGAGAAUUAUCGAGACUUCGCUUCGAUAAAACAUCAGCUGUAAAUCGAGAUUCGUAUAGGUCAAAUACGCUCGAGUGCAAAGGAAAGAAAACAAAGGAAAGAAAUAGACGAAGGGAAACAGGCAAACGCGCUGACAUGGACUUCUAUGCGUGUAAAUAUUAUAAAUAUUAAUAAGAGCGAAUAAAACGAAUGCCGCGAAGAAAAGAAUGCGUGUGCGUGUGAAAGGUUCUUUGAAAGAGAGAGCAAAUAGUUCUAAUCUCAUGUUACGCAAGAAAAGGUGGAAGAAAAAAAGAAUUAUCGAGCAGUUACGAGGACUUUGUUAAUUAGGUUUUAGCGUGCGGAGACGAUAUAGCUGGCUCUAUCGUAGUUUCUAUACUUAACGAAUGCGAAAGUUUAACAUACCGUUGAAAAAAAAAUGAAACAAAAAAAAACGUUUUUUCUAGCAGCUCAACAAGCCACCAAAGCGCGUCGAUCGAGGUCUUGAAACGGUAUGCGCCUGCUCCUUUUUAACGCUGAAAAAAAAAAAAAGAAACAGGUCGGUCAGCUUGCGAUUCCAAGUAAUUUACGCAUAGAGAUUGCGACCAUUUUAGAGGAUUAGACCGAAUAAACGAUCGAUCGAGUAAUUACCUUCCUCUGAAUUACACACAUUCCUUUGUACGUCCUUGCACGUUAUUUUAUACACCACCUGAACUAGACUCAUUCUUGCGCUACCGAUCCAUUUAAUCGUUGCGAAUCGGCCAGAUUGGACUUGACGGGAGAUCGUAAAUGGGUUUCGAGUCAGAGAAUCGUAACAGUUCCAAAUUUCAAAUCUUCGCCGUACAGCAACACAUAACCUCGUUUUGUUUAGUUCGAACGAAGCAACGAUUCCAAUUUAUUCGUAUCCUAAAGUACAAAGUUCAACGAGCUGAAUUUUUCGACGGUCGACUCUGUACACCUCUGACUCGAAGCCUUUUAACUAAUCUAGAGCAAGACCCAGCUACUUUCAGUAGCUGUCCAACUCUUGUUUUUUCUCGUGUCAAACGGUCCGUCUUUCUCGCUCAACAUUUGGAAUCGCAAGGAGAUCCCUUCGCUCGGUUCCCUAUCCAAGAGCUUCUCUUUUCGUGCGUGUUUUUUUCGUCCCCGUUGAUCCGACUCUAUCGACGACCGUAAGUCGACACCGUGCGUCUUUCCACAGCAACUAAUUUUCGUCGAGAAUAUCAAAGACUGAUCAUUUUUUUGAAUACUGGAUACCCAAACUUGAAAACUAAUUUUAAACGAGAAUCAUCCAUCCUCGAACUUGACAGAUGAUCGUAUUAUGUAUCGUUCGAUCCGCUCGAUAACUUUCAUUUCGUUGCGCUAAGAGCAAAGUUACUUGCACAGAAGACUCUCAGAGAGCAGUUCUCGAUCUUUUAAUUAAUUUACACGAAGAUAUUUGUCACGUUUAUAGAUAGAUGUCGCGAUACUCGAUGUGUCGGUUGAUAAAAUAAUACGCGCAAUUAUUUUUUCGAUGGAGGCAGGGCCAUUCAUUUCUAGCGUUCGAGGAGAAUAACCAAACGUAACCUCUUCUCCUUCUCGACGAGUCGCGCUAGGUGUCGCUAAAAAACAUGGCGCGGUACAAGGUUGUAAGGAACUGAGUAAACAAUUAUAGCGCAAAGGGUUCUAUACUCAUAAAUGAUACCCUGUAUAAAUCGUGUCACGUUUUAUUAUGUAUUCGAGGGCUAACCUCUUGCCAAUACAAUACCCUGCCGAUGUUACAUGGUUUGUUCGAGUGAACGAAUUGAAUGUUCGACUGACGGUCGUUGUCGAGUCGUUGGGGUCGAAUUUCGUCGGCGCGGAUAUACUUACAUACAUAUGCAGUAUACAGACAUGCAUUUCUGCUGUCCGCGUCUCUGGCAAUGCAACGACAAAACAUUCACGUUUCCCAUCGACAAACGGGCGGCUCGUUGUCGGCUGCGCGGAGUCGUGAGAACAGAAACACAAAA